UACAGAGGUGGCAAGCGUUGUUCGGAAUUACUGGGCGUAAAGGGCGCGUAGGCGGUCUUGCAAGUCCUGUGUGAAAUCCCUCGGCUCAACUGAGGAACUGCACAGGAAACUGCUUGGCUUGAGUUCGGGAGAGGGAAGCGGAAUUCCGGGUGGUAGCGGUGAAAUGCGUAGAUAUCAAGAGGAACACCUGCGGCGAAGGCGGGUUGCUGGGCCGACACUGACGCUGAGGCGCGAAAGCCAGGGGAGCGAACGGG
rnacentral:rRNA from 1 species